GUGGGGAAUAUUCCGCAAUGGACGAAAGUCUGACGGAGCAACGCCGCGUGAGUGAUGAAGGUUUUCGGACUGUAAAGCUCUGUUGUUUAGGACGAAAGUGCCUGUUGCAAAUAGUUACAGGUAUUGACGGUACUGAACGAGGAAGCCACGGCUAACUACGUGCCAGCAGCCGCGGUAAUACGUAGGUGGCAAGCGUUGUCCGGAAUUAUUGGGCGUAAAGAGCAUGUAGGCGGGAAUCUAAGUCUGUUGUGAAAAUGCGGGGCUCAACCCCGUAUUGCGAUGGAAACUGGGUUGCUUGAGUGCAGGAGAGGAAAGGGGAAUUCCCAGUGUAGCGGUGAAAUGCGUAGAUAUUGGGAGGAACACCAGUGGCGAAGGCGCCUUUCUGGACUGUGUCUGACGCUGAGAUGCGAAAGCCAGGGUAGCGAACGGGAUUAGAAACCCGUGUAGUCC
rnacentral:rRNA from 1 species